rnacentral:rRNA from 1 species
CCUACGGGCGGCAGCAGUGGGGAAUAUUGGACAAUGGGCGAAAGCCUGAUCCAGCCAUGCCGCGUGUGUGAAGAAGGCCUUCGGGUUGUAAAACACUUUCAGUGGGGAAGAAAGCCUUGGGGCUAAUACCCUCGAGGAAGGACAUCACCCACAGAAGAAGCACCGGCUAACUCCGUGCCAGCAGCCGCGGUAAUACGGAGGGUGCGAGCGUUAAUCGGAAUUACUGGGCGUAAAGCGCGCGUAGGCGGUCUGAUAAGCCGGUUGUGAAAGCCCCGGGCUCAACCUGGGAACGGCAUCCGGAACUGUCAGCUAGAGUGCAGGAGAGGAAGGUAGAAUUCCCGGUGUAGCGGUGAAAUGCGUAGAGAUCGGGAGGAAUACCAGUGGCGAAGGCGGCCUUCUGGACUGACACUGACGCUGAGGUGCGAAAGCGUGGGUAGCAAACAGGAUUAGAUACCCCUGUAGUC